AACUAGCUGCUGAUCGUUCCGUACCUUGGUUUUUGACAUGCCUGAGCCAGCGAAGUCCGCUCCCGCCCCGAAGAAGGGCUCCAAGAAGGCGGUGACCAAGGCUCAGAAGAAGGACGGCAAGAAGCGCAAGCGCAGCCGCAAGGAGAGCUACUCCGUGUACGUGUACAAGGUGCUGAAGCAGGUGCACCCCGACACCGGCAUCUCCUCCAAGGCCAUGGGCAUCAUGAACUCCUUCGUCAACGACAUCUUCGAGCGCAUCGCCGGCAAGGCUUCCCGCCUGGCGCAUUACAACAAGCGACCAUCACCUCCAGGGAGAUCCAGACGGCCGUGCGCCUGCUGCUGCCUGGGGAGCUGGCCAAGCACGCCAUGUCGGAGGGCACCAAGGCCGUCACCAAGUGCACCAGCGCUAAGUAAACUUGACAAGGAGGGACCUUUUCUGGAAUUUCCUGAUCUGAUCAAGAAAGCUUCUUACAAAAAAAAAAAAAAAAAAAAAAAAAAAAAAAGACUGAGGAAUGCAACCACACCUGGAUGGACUUUUCCACAAGAUAAAGCUGGCCUCUUUGUCUCAUUCAGAUUUCAAAGAGAAUCAUUUACAAGUUAAUUUCUGUCUCCCUGGUUCAUUCCUUCUCACUUAUAAUCAUUCGCUGUUCCUCAAAUAAUUGUAUACAUUACCCAUCUCCUCUUUUGCCUCUGAGAAAGGGUAUAUAAGCUUCUGUACCCCGCCAAGGGGUUGGAGUAAUCAUUCUGUGGCCCCCAGCCCUGUACAUUAAUAAAUUUGUAUGCCUUUUCUCUU